ACCGGCGCACGGGUGAGUAACACGUGGACAACCUGUCUUGCAGUCUGGGAUAACCCGUCGAAAGACGAGCUAAUACCGGAUAAGACCACGUUCGCAAAAGAUGCACUUUGAGAGGGGUCCGCGUCCUAUCAGCUAGUUGGCGAGGUAACGGCUCACCAAGGUUAAGACGGGUAGCUGGUCUGAGAGGAUUGUCAGCCACACUGGGACUGAGACACGGUCCAGAGUCCUACGGGAUGCAGCAGUCAGGAAUAUUGCGCAAUGGAGGAAACUCUGACGCAGCGACGCCGCGUGGGUGAUGAAGGCCUUCGGGUCGUAAAGCCCUGUCGGAGGGGAAGAAAGACGGUACCCUCAAAGGAAGCACCGGCUAACUCCGUGCCAG
rnacentral:rRNA from 1 species